GGGUGCAUUACUCUUUGUAACCCAACUAAUAUACUAUUUUGUAUAUCUUUUGCAAACAAUGAGUUGACAUUCGAAGUGAUUGAGAAAUCUUGGUGGGCUUAAUCAAUAAUAAUUUUAAUUUUUUAGUAUAAUUUCUGUUACUCAAAGUAUAUGCGUAGAGUAUUUCUUCUUAUAUAUGAUUGGUACAAUUAUGUUUGAACAUCUCUCAAUAUGAGUAUGAGCUCAUUAUUGUGCAUGGUUAUUCGGUUAUACCAAAACAAUACACUUUCUUUCUAUGUUUUUAUGAACGGGGAGUUGAGUGCAAGUUUUUAUGAACUGUAGUAUACUGUAUUUUGUUUUUAUUUUGCAUAUGGAUCUUAUCAUGUUCAUCUCAAUAUUAAAUGAAAUUUCUACCCUUGCCAAGCAUGGUGUUCACAAAUAGUCGUACUCGAUGGUUUUUCUUGUUAUUUCCAGGUAUAAUUCCCACUUCUCUCUGCCUCCUUCCCCACUCCUUGCUCCUGUUGUGACUGAUUUCCUAAGAUGGUUUGUCAAGGAGAAAGUUCGUGAACGAAAGAAAUCUAAUUGAGAGGCCAAGGAGGCCCGAAGAAAAUCCAUUGAAAAAUGAGUGAUGAAGCUAAAGCAACAUUUGAAAGUUUGAGGAAUUACUAAAGUUAAGUAAGAAUUAUAGUUUAAUAAGAUGGGUAUGUUUCACAAUCUAAAGACACAUCGAGAAUACGAAAUAUGAUAGGCUAUCGAUAAAGCAUGGCUUGAAAGAAGGAAAAAAUUCAUGCAGACAAUUAUGGGAGUGAUAGAUUUUCGAAUGAAAUGCACUCAACGGAUUCCAGUGGGGUUGGCUGAAGCAGCUGCCGCAUAUGACAAAUGGCAGCCAAGGUUCCCUAAAUUGCCAUGCUUUUAGUUUUAGGAAAUAUGACAAGUUGAUAUAAAUAAAUAAAUAAAUAUAUAUAUAUGUGUGUGUGUGUGUAGAAAACUUACAUCUCGUGAUAGAUUGUGUUGCUAGAUAGUUUUUCACGUUCCUAACCAAAAUAAAGUUUAUCAUGCUAUUCCGUCCAACUAUUGAUUUGUAACAACCUUAUGUAAAUACUUUUUACACACCAUUUUUAUAACACAUUUAGUCUUGUAUUUGAAGACUUAAAUACAAUACUCCUAGUUUCAUAUCUAAACUAAACACUUAUUGCUUCUCUAUGAAGUCUUGAUAAAAUU